rnacentral:lncRNA from 1 species
GCCCCUCUUUCUUUUGAAGAUCCACUUACACCCUACGGUUUUAUCUCUUCAGGUGGGUCAACCAAUGUCCAUACAUUGUUGACUUUUAUGGACUCUAUUUUGAAUUUCAUGGCUUUCAGCCACUUAUUGGAGUCAGACCUCUGCAUCGCAUCCAUAUAGAUAAUCAGAUCCUCAUUAUUCUCAUUGAGUUCAAUUGGAUCCCCAUCCCGGACUAAG